rnacentral:lncRNA from 1 species
AAAUUCUUAUUAAAGAAGGAAAAAUUCAAGGGGAAGAGGGUGAUUUCACAAAGAAUAUUGUUUUUAAAGAUAUUUUAUUACAUUGACUUAAUGCUAAUGAUGUUACUACAUACAUCUACAUUUAUCUGACCGUCAUACUUCAGUAACAACCAAUGAUUAUAAGGAACAACCCAACGGUUCUCAACAGUCACACAUCUAAUGAGAUUCACAAGCUCAUAAUGUCGUGUUUUCUACUCUACAUAAUAGUCCUUAUUUCUUCACCGUUUGUUUCUUAGUUUCAAAGUUA